rnacentral:rRNA from 1 species
AGAGUUUGAUCCUGGCUCAGGACGAACGCUGGCGGCGCGCCUAACACAUGCAAGUCGAACGAGCGAGAGAGAGCUUGCUUUCUCGAGCGAGUGGCGAACGGGUGAGUAACGCGUGAGGAACCUGCCUCAAAGAGGGGGACAACAGUUGGAAACGACUGCUAAUACCGCAUAAGCCCACGGCUCGGCAUCGAGCAGAGGGAAAAGGAGCAAUCCGCUUUGAGAUGGCCUCGCGUCCGAUUAGCUAGUUGGUGAGGUAACGGCCCACCAAGGCGACGAUCGGUAGCCGGACUGAGAGGUUGAACGGCCACAUUGGGACUGAGACACGGCCCAGACUCCUACGGGAGGCAGCAGUGGGGAAUAUUGCACAAUGGGGGAAACCCUGAUGCAGCGACGCCGCGUGGAGGAAGAAGGUCUUCGGAUUGUAAACUCCUGUUGUUGAGGAAGAUAAUGACGGUACUCAACAAGGAAGUGACGGCUAACUACGUGCCAGCAGCCGCGGUAAAACGUAGGUCACAAGCGUUGUCCGGAAUUACUGGGUGUAAAGGGAGCGCAGGCGGGAAGACAAGUUGGAAGUGAAAUCCAUGGGCUCAACCCAUGAACUGCUUUCAAAACUGUUUUUCUUGAGUAGUGCAGAGGUAGGCGGAAUUCCCGGUGUAGCGGUGGAAUGCGUAGAUAUCGGGAGGAACACCAGUGGCGAAGGCGGCCUACUGGGCACCAACUGACGCUGAGGCUCGAAAGUGUGGGUAGCAAACAGGAUUAGAUACCCUGGUAGUCCACACCGUAAACGAUGAUUACUAGGUGUUGGAGGAUUGACCCCUUCAGUGCCGCAGUUAACACAAUAAGUAAUCCACCUGGGGAGUACGACCGCAAGGUUGAAACUCAAAGGAAUUGACGGGGGCCCGCACAAGCAGUGGAUUAUGUGGUUUAAUUCGAAGCAACGCGAAGAACCUUA